rnacentral:rRNA from 1 species
AAUGAACGCUGGCGGCAGGCCUAACACAUGCAAGUCGAACGAGUGGCGUACGGGUGAGUAAUGUCUGGGAAACUGCCUGAUGGCAGGGGAUAACUACUGGCAACGGUAGCUAAUACCGCAUACCAUCAGAUGUGCCCAGCUGGGAUUAGCUUGUUGUGGGGGUAACGGCUCACCAAGGCGACGAUCCCUAGCUGUUCUGAGAGGAUGACCAGCAACACUGGAACUGAGACACGGUCCAGACUCCUACGGGAGGCAGCAGUGGGAAAUAUGGCACAAUGGGCGCAAGCGUGAUGCAGCCAUGCCGCGUGUAUGAAGAAGGCCUUCGGGUUGUAAAGUACUUUCAGCGGGGAGGCGUUACCCGCAGAAGAAGCACCGGCUAACUCCGUGCCAGCAGCCGCGGUAAUUC